ensembl:lncRNA
UGGGGACCAGGUGGAUGGACUUGGACCAGGUGGAUGGACAGGGGACCAGGUGGACCAGGUGGAUGGACUGGGACCAGGUGGAUGGACUGGGGACCAGGUGGAUGGACUGUGGACCAGGUGGAUGGACUGGGGACCAGGUGGAUGGACUGUGGACCAGGUGGACCAGGUGGAUGGACUGGGGACUAGGUGGACCAGGUGGAUGGACUGGGGACUAGGUGGACCAGGUGGAUGGACUGUGGACCAGGUGGACCAGGUGGAUGGACUGGGGACCAGGUGGAUGGACUGUGGAACAAAAGACACAAUAAAUAUAUCACCAAAAGACUAACAGCAUUUUGAAGUAGAUUCCUUCAAAAGGUAUGACAACAAGCUGUUGUGUUGUACCUCAUGUCUAAAUAGUUGAGGUAAAGCCGGGACUCAAACUCUCAAAGCAUCAUCGCAGAGUAAGAGGUCUGAUCUAGGAUCUGGUCCCCCCUGUCCAUGAAAUAUUAUCACUUUUGAAUCUAAAAGGCUAAACUGAUCCCUGAUCAGCAUUUUUAUUCGGAGAUGCUUUGUGAAUACAGUCCAAGGAAGACUCCCUAAAGGCUAAAAUUUCAAUCUAUGUUGUUUGUAAUCACACACACAUUUCAUGACGGGCCGACCCCAGGUGGUGAAGGUAGGCCACGUCACCUCCGGUAGGCCUGAUCACCGGCGACGAUGAGUCAGCCUACAGGAAGGAAGUCAGACACUUGGCUAUGUGGUGCCAGGACAACAACCUCUCCCUCCACGUCAGUCAGACCAAGGAGCUGAUCGUAGACUAGAGGAAACGAGGGGGCGGAGCACACCCCUGUCCACAUGGAGCAGGUCAAGACAUUCAAGUACCUCGGUGUCCAAAU